rnacentral:tRNA from 1 species
GCGGGUAUAACUCAGGGGUAGAGUAUUAGCUUCCCAAGCUAAUAGCCGCGGGUUCAAAUCCCGUUGCCCGCUCCA